GGCGAACGCUGGCGGCGUGCUUAACACAUGCAAGUCGAACGGGAUUUAGUAAACGGAAGCCUCGGUGGAAGAUUACUAAUGAGAGUGGCGAACGGGUGAGUAACGCGUGAGCAACCUGCCUAUGACAGUGGGAUAGCCUCGGGAAACCGGGAUUAAUACCGCAUAAAAUCGUAGAAACACAUGUUUCAACGGUCAAAGAUUUAUCGGUCAUAGAUGGGCUCGCGUCUGAUUAGCUAGUUGGUGAGAUAACAGCCCACCAAGGCGACGAUCAGUAGCCGGUCUGAGAGGAUGAACGGCCACAUUGGAACUGAGACACGGUCCAAACUCCUACGGGAGGCAGCAGUGGGGAAUAUUGCACAAUGGGGGAAACCCUGAUGCAGCGACGCCGCGUGAACGAAGAAGGUAUUCGUAUCGUAAAGUUCUGUCCUAUGGGAAGAUAAUGACAGUACCAUAGAAGAAAGCUCCGGCUAAAUACGUG
rnacentral:rRNA from 1 species